AACGUAGGAGACGAACGUUAUCCGGAGUUACUGGGCGUAAAGGGCGUGCAGGCGGCUUUUUAAGUUCGGCGUGAAAUUUAUCGGCUUAACCGGGAAAUGUCGUCGGAGACUGGAGAGCUAGAGGGCGGUAGAGGCGGGUGGAAUUCCGGGUGUAGUGGUGAAAUGCGUAGAGAUCCGGAGGAACACCAGUGGCGAAGGCGACCCGCUGGGCCGCACCUGACGCUAAGACGCGACAGCAUGGGGAGCGAACGGG
rnacentral:rRNA from 1 species